AGCAGCCGCGGUAAUUCCAGCUCCAAUAGCGUAUAUUAAAGUUGUUGCAGUUAAAAAGCUCGUAGUUGAAUUUCGGGAUCAAUUAAUUGGUCGUGCCUCUGGUACGUACUGAUUUUAUUGGUUUCUCCCUUCUGAAGAAUCAUGAUGUCAUUAAUUUGGUGUCGUGGAGAAUCAGGACUGUUACUUUGAAAAAAUUUAGAGUGUUUAAAGCAAGCUAACGCUUGAAUACAUUAGCAUGGAAUAAUGAAAUAGGACGUUUGAUCCUAUUUUGUUGGUUUCUAGGAUCGACGUAAUGAUUAAUAGGGAUAGUUGGGGGCAUUAGUAUUCAAUUGUCAGAGGUGAAAUUCUUGGAUUUAUUGAAGACUAACUACUGCGAAAGCAUUUGCCAAGGAUGUUUUCAUUAAUCAAGAACGAAAGUUAGGGGAUCGAAGACGAUCAGAUACCGUCGUAGUCUUAACCAUAAACUAUGCCGACUAGGGAUCGGAUGAUGUUAAUUUUUUAAUGACUCAUUCGGCGCCUU
rnacentral:rRNA from 1 species